UCUGGCUCAUCUAUUCCUAGCGCAAGUUUUAUUAAAAAAACGCAGAUAAAAAAUGUGUGCAGGCAGAUAUUUGUAGCAUACACAUGGAUUAGGCAAUUGUUUUCCUAUGCGUUUGAUAAGUUAGUAGCCCCAGUUAUCUUUAUGGGUGUUACUUUCUUUUGGAUACAUUCACAUCUGAACAAUGGAAGCUCGUGUAAUACUGAAUGUUAUUAGUCAUGCCAUUACAGUGUGAUUUACUAUCUA
rnacentral:lncRNA from 1 species